AUAUAUAUAUAUAUAUACAUACUGUGUUAAAGAGAGAUGACAAUCAAAGUGUUGGUAACCUAAAUAGUUUGAGAAACUCAAGUCUGUUCUUUCUGUUCCAGAAUGCCCAAGUCAGACACACAGGCCACAGAGAUCAAGAAUCGACCUCCACCAGGAUACCCAAAUGAAAACCAGACUGGUACUGGUGGGAAAUGCUGCCCUAGAUCAAAGAAGAAAGGUGAAAGAGGCUUCAUUGAGGGAUGCCUCUUUGCUUUGUGUUGCUGUUGGCUUUGCGAAUCUUGCUUCUGAUGGAACUUAUUGGAUGGUUACAAAAGGAUAUUAGAGUUUUUAUAUUAAUCUCUUCCCUUUCAUGUAUUGUUUCUAGUGAUAUUUGUUUGCCAGAUGUGUAAAUGGCUCUGAAAAUUUCUCUUUUUGUUUAUGGAUUGGUAUUAAUGUCACAAUUUUUACAAGUUCCCUAAUAUAAAUAUGUAAUCAAAUUAGUACUUUUAUA